CCUACGGGAGGCAGCAGUGAGGAAUAUUGGUCAAUGGACGAAAGUCUGAACCAGCCAAGUAGCGUGAAGGAUGACUGCCCUAUGGGUUGUAAACUUCUUUUAUACAGGAAUAAAACGAGGCACGUGUGCCUUUUUGCAUGUACUUUAUGAAUAAGGAUCGGCUAACUCCGUGCCAGCAGCCGCGGUAAUACGGAGGAUCCGAGCGUUAUCCGGAUUUAUUGGGUUUAAAGGGAGCGUAGAUGGGUUGUUAAGUCAGUUGUGAAAGUUUGCGGCUCAACCGUAAAAUUGCAAUUGAUACUGGCAGUCUAGAGUACAGUUGAGGUAAGCGGAAUUCGUGGUGUAGCGGUGAAAUGCUUAGAUAUCACGAAGAACCCCGAUUGCGAAGGCAGCUUACUAAACUGUGACUGACAUUGAUGCUCGAAAGUGUGGGUAUCAAACAGGAUUAGAUACCCCUGUAGUC
rnacentral:rRNA from 1 species